CCUACGGGAGGCAGCAGUGGGGAAUAUUGCGCAAUGGGCGAACGCCUGAAGCAGCGAAGCCGCGUGAGGGAUGAAGGUCUUCGGAUCGGUAACCUCUGUCUGCCGGGGAGCACCGUCACUGUGCUGAUCAGCAGUGAAUUGACGGUACCUGCAAAGGAUGCACCGGCUUACUCCGUGCAAGCAGCCGCGGUCAUACGGAGGGUGCGUGCGUUAAUCAGAAUUACUUGGCGUGAUGCGCUCGGAGGCGGUAUGUCCAGCCAAGGGGUAAAUCCCCGCGGUCCAGCUGCGCACUGCCUUUGAAACUGGCGUACUUGAGUGUGUGAGAGGAAAGUGGAAUGCCAGGUGUAGGAGUGAAAUCCGUAGAUAUCACGAGGAACACCGGUUGCGAAGGCGACAAACCGGCACAUAACUGACGCUGAGGAGCGAAAGCGUGGGUAGCAAACAGGAUUAGAUACCCGAGUAGUC
rnacentral:rRNA from 1 species